rnacentral:lncRNA from 1 species
UGGCUAAUCAUAGUAAUAACAACAACAAUAAUAUAUAUAUUACAAAUUCCAAUAGCAAUCAUAACAUUUUCAAAUAAACUGCUGCACACAACCUCCAGUGAGAAAUACACACUGAUAACACUCGCGAUAACUCAUAACAAAGAAACUCAACAAGUUAAUCUUGUGCUGUUGGAGCAGGUCCAGGAAUGGUGAUGCAUGGUAGCUUGUGAAGGCGGCGGCCUCUACUUGUAUGGCACUGUACAGCGCUAACUUAGUGACCUCUACCUGUAUAUCACGUAUACCACUAAUCCAGUAACCUCUAUCUGUAUGUCACGUAUACCACUAACCUAGUGACCUCUACCUGUAUGUCACGUAUAUCACUAACCUAGUGACCUCUACCUGUAUUACAUUGCAAAACACUAAAAAAGCCACCUCAACUUGUCUCACAUUUCCCAGAAGUAACCCAUCUAGCUGUGAGUGUCUCCCUCAACAACACUAACCCAGCGCAUGAGUUCCACUCAUACUUCACUAACAUUUAACACGCCCCAUCAUCAUUAUUCUUCAUAUUCAGAUGAAACCAGUGUUUAUACUUCUCCUGUCUUAGCAGACUGCAACUGUAGAUAAACAUAUGAAUGAAAUGUUUUUUUGUAUAUCUCUCGCAGUGAGAAAAAUCUGUAUUACCGUAUAUGGUUGUGGUCUUAUAGUAGAGAAGCAUGUGAUAAACUGUUAGCUAAUACCUUGUCACCCUCUGUUUCAGCAGCUCUAAGUACCAAGUUAGUGGCAUAGACUCCUGGGCCGCAACAUGUUCAUGUAGAGAGAUGACCCGACAACCAACCCACACCACCAUAUUGAGGACGACCUGUGGCCUGGCACUGUAUUCCCGGUGAAGACAGUGCCCUUCAAACACUCCCAUCCCCAGAGAUCCGGGUAUCCCUCGAUACUUCCAUCUUCACUGUGUAUCGUCUUUUGAUCGACUAAUUCUCUAUUAUGUUUCUUCCUUUCUGUUGUGUGUUUGUACGAGGCUAAUAUUCUUAGUGCGAGGUUAUUGUAGUGUCACAAGGACAUCAGGGAGGGGUGACAGAGGGCAAGAGGGGGUGACAUGUGUCACUUCAUUACCCACAUCUCGGGAGCACACCAUCGCGCCGAGCGGAAACAACAAAGAGUCAGACACACACACAUAGAGCCAACAAGAACAGCCUGGGUAUAACUUGUCACACGUUGCUCCCUCCACUCUCUCCCUCGCCCUAUAAUGGUCUCCAGCCGCCACCUGACUUAAGCUUCUACAGUUAACCCCGUUGGGUAUUUAUUUUUAUACAUAGAUGACUUUUUAUGCGGCCGAGGGUUCAGUCAAUAUUCCGUCGAGGGAUACAUAGCGAAAGGCCACACAAUAUUUGACCCUUUUCCCACUCUUAUCUUCCUUUAAAGAUUACCUACCACUGCUCACCAUUACCAUUGCCGGUUGACAGGGAAAGGAAUUUUAAUGUGUGGAUUUCUUUAGAUUAGUUCACACUCAAAUACAUUACUUUAACUCCUUGUGUACUGCAAAUGUCGCAGGAUGUAUGUAUGGAUCUGUAUCAGAAUAUAUUGUAUUAAUAAAUACAUGGCUGGGAA